GCGUCAUGCCCUUCCUGGGCGUUUCCUCCCUAAAGACUUUAAAUGCCGCGCCUUCGGGCGCGGCUUUUUUUUGGUCCCGG
rnacentral:sRNA from 1 species